rnacentral:rRNA from 1 species
AGAGUUUGAUUAUGGCUCAGGAUGAACGCUGGCGGCGUGCCAAUACAUGCAAGUCGAGCGAGAAUCUUUCAGAAGCGUUUCGGACAAUUCAGAGAAGAGGAAAGCGGCGGACGGGUGAGUAACGCGUAGGCAACCUGCCCUUAGCAGAGGGAUAGCCAUUGGAAACGAUGAUUAAAACCUCAUAACGCCGGAUCGGCACAUGCCGGACCGGCCAAAGAUUUAUCGGCUAGGGGAUGGGCCUGCGUCUGAUUAACUAGUUGGUGAGGUAACGGCCCACCAAGGUGACGAUCAGUAGCCGACCUGAGAGGGUGAUCGGCCACAUUGGGACUGAGACACGGCCCAAACUCCUACGGGAGGCAGCAGUGGGGAAUAUUGCACAAUGGGGGAAACCCUGAUGCAAGCGACGCCGCGUGAGUGAGGAAGUAUUUCGGUAUGUAAAACUCUAUCAGCAGGGAAGAUAAUGACGGUACCUGACUAAGAAGCACCGGCUAAAUACGUGCCAGCCGCCGC